rnacentral:rRNA from 1 species
GAGUUUGAUCCUGGCUCAGGACGAACGCUGGCGGCAUGCCUAAUACAUGCAAGUCGAGCGGACUUGAAGAGAAGCUUGCUUCUCUGAUAGUUAGCGGCGGACGGGUGAGUAACACGUAGGCAACCUGCCCUCAAGUUUGGGACAACUACCGGAAACGGUAGCUAAUACCGAAUAAUUGUUUUCUUCGCCUGAAGGAAACUGGAAAGACGGAGCAAUCUGUCACUUGGGGAUGGGCCUGCGGCGCAUUAGCUAGUUGGUGGGGUAACGGCUCACC